rnacentral:rRNA from 1 species
UACGUAGGGUGCAAGCGUUGUCCGGAAUUAUUGGGCGUAAAGAGCUCGUAGGCGGUCUGUCGCGUCUGCUGUGAAAACUCAGGGCUUAACCCUGAGCUUGCAGUGGGUACGGGCAGACUAGAGUGCGGUAGGGGAGACUGGAAUUCCUGGUGUAGCGGUGAAAUGCGCAGAUAUCAGGAGGAACACCGGUGGCGAAAGCGACUCUCUGGACGGCAACUGACGCUGAGGCACGAAAGCGUGGGGAGCAAACAGG